AAUAGAUACCCCGGUAGUCCACGCCGUAAACGAUGAGUGCUAAGUGUUAGAGGGGUUUCCGCCCUUUAGUGCUGCAGCUAACGCAUUAAGCACUCCGCCUGGGGAGUACGGUCGCAAGACUGAAACUCAAAGGAAUUGACGGGGGCCCGCACAAGCGGUGGAGCAUGUGGUUUAAUUCGAAGCAACGCGAAGAACCUUACCAGGUCUUGACAUCCUCUGACAACUCUAGAGAUAGAGCGUUCCCCUUCGGGGGACAGAGUGACAGGUGGUGCAUGGUUGUCGUCAGCUCGUGUCGUGAGAUGUUGGGUUAAGUCCCGCAACGAGCGCAACCCUUGAUCUUAGUUGCCAGCAUUCAGUUGGGCACUCUAAGGUGACUGCCGGUGACAAACCGGAGGAAGGUGGGGAUGACGUCAAAUCAUCAUGCCCCUUAUGACCUGGGCUACACACGUGCUACAAUGGAUGGUACAAAGGGCUGCAAGACCGCGAGGUCAAGCCAAUCCCAAUAAAACCAUUCUCAGUUCGGAUUGU
rnacentral:rRNA from 1 species